CCUACGGGGGGCUGCAGUGGGGAAUAUUGCACAAUGGGCGCAAGCCUGAUGCAGCCAUGCCGCGUGUGUGAAGAAGGCCUUCGGGUUGUAAAGCACUUUCAGCGGGGAGGAAGGCGGUGAGGUUAAUAACCUCAUCGAUUGACGUUACCCGCAGAAGAAGCACCGGCUAACUCCGUGCCAGCAGCCGCGGUAAUACGGAGGGUGCAAGCGUUAAUCGGAAUUACUGGGCGUAAAGCGCACGCAGGCGGUCUGUCAAGUCGGAUGUGAAAUCCCCGGGCUCAACCUGGGAACUGCAUUCGAAACUGGCAGGCUAGAGUCUUGUGGAGGGGGGUAGAAUUCCAGGUGUAGCGGUGAAAUGCGUAGAGAUCUGGAGGAAUACCGGUGGCGAAGGUGGCCCCCUGGACAAAGACUGACGCUCAGGUGCGAAAGCGUGGGGAGCAAACAGGAUUAGAUACCCCGGUAGUC
rnacentral:rRNA from 1 species